UACGGAGGGGGCUAGCGUUAUUCGGAAUUACUGGGCGUAAAGCGCACGUAGGCGGCUUUGUAAGUUAGAGGUGAAAGCCUGGAGCUUAACUCCGGAAUUGCCUUUAAGACUGCAUCGCUAGAAUCAUGGAGAGGUUAGUGGAAUUCCGAGUGUAGAGGUGAAAUUCGUAGAUAUUCGGAAGAACACCAGUGGCGAAGGCGACUAACUGGACAUGUAUUGACGCUGAGGUGCGAAAGCGUGGGGAGCAAACAGG
rnacentral:rRNA from 1 species